UCGUAGGGUAUGUUUACAAAACUCUUGCUGUUCAGUUGCUAAUAGUACCCAAUUUAGGGACUCCAUGGACUACAGCAUGCCAGGUUCCCCUGUCGUUCACCGUCUCCUGAGUUUGCUCAAAUUCAUGUCCAUAGAGUCAGUGACGCCAACCAAACAUCUCAUCCUCGGCAGUCCCUUCUCCUCCUGCCCUGUCUUUCCCAACAUCAUAAUAUUUUCCAGUGAGUCAGCUCUUUGCAUCAGGUUCUAAAAGGGCUUCCCUGGUGGCUCAGCAGUAAAGAAUCUGCCUGCAAUGCCCGAGACCCGGCUUCGAUCCCUGGGUUGAGAAGAUCCCCUAGAGGAGGGCAUGGCAACCGACUCCAAUACUCUGGCCUAGAGAAUCCCAUGGGCAGAGGCACCUGGCCGACUGUAGCCCAUAGGAUCACACAGAGUUGGACACGACUGAAGCAACUAAGCAGCAGCAGAAGGCCAAGGCUUCAGAGAGAAAUACUUAAUAAUUAGUAUGUUAAAUUUCAUGGGAUUUCUAAAAAUCUGGUAUGCCCCAGUAAAAUGUUAUCUCAUUGUUUUCUAGUUGUUUUAAAAUGUUGCAUGUCAUAAUAACUCAGUUUAUUUUGUCAAUCCCAUUGUGGCCAAAUGUUUAUGACUUUUUAAAUUCCUUUUUAAAGUCUUUCUGUGAUUUAUAGAUGGCUAUUGUUGUAUUCAUGUAUAUUCAUGUAUGGACAUGAAUUUGAGCAAACUCCAGGAGAUAGUGGAGGACAGAGGAGCCUGGCAUGUUGAAGGCCAUGGGGUCGAAACAAGCUGGACGUAACUCAGGGACUGAACAACAACAACACUGUUGUAGUCUGUUAAAUCUCAGGUUAUACUGGGGAACUAGGUAAGGAAGAAAGUCCUAAGGGAAAGCCUGAUCGCUUCAUACAAAGUUAAAAACAGGAUUGGUUACUAAAUGGACUGUAAAUUAUGGUGAUAAAUUUAUGGGUUUUAUCUGAAAUGUCACUGAUUUUAACUCAUGUUUUCCAGAUAUAGGGAAGCCCUUCUCCUCAAGUUGGUUAUGAUUUACAACAGUUUGGUAAAUUAUACCUCUGUGAGUAAAACAGAGAUAUUUUUCUUUUCCCUCUGCCUGUUCUGUUCAAACAUUGUAAACUCUUGGGUUCUGAGCAGCCUUAUCAAACAAAUGGGAAAGACUCUUCUGGCAUGUGGGGGGAUCUUGAUAGUCUGAGGACUUCUAUAGAAGACAGAAAGUCACCUAGGCAAAAUCUGACGGCAGGCCUUUGACAUGGCUUUCUUGGUCUUGAGGGGCCUUUUGAAACUUUCAUCUGAGACUCCUACUGAGGAAUUACACCAGAAUCAACGUGGAUGAAUCCAUGUGGUCAAUGGACAAAACAGUUUAAAAAUAAAUUAGUCUCAGCUGUACCUGAUGAAAAUGGAGGUGAUUCUAGAAAAAAGAGGUUUCACUGAAUGUUAAAUUCUAGUGUUGUUAAAUAAGGUCUGUGUUUACCCACUUUCCUUGUUGUUGCAUCAUAUUGUUACAAAAUUUAAUUGUCAGAAGAACACUAAGUUUGUUUCUGAAGCCUAACUAUGUAAU
ensembl:lncRNA